rnacentral:rRNA from 1 species
AUACGAAGGGUGCAAGCGUUAAUCGGAAUUACUGGGCGUAAAGCGCGCGGAGGCGGUUUGUUAAGUCAGAUGUGAAAGCCCCAGGCUCAACCUGGGAACUGCAUUUGAAACUGGCAGGCUAGAGUGUGGUAGAGGGAAGUGGAAUUUCAGGUGUAGCGGUGAAAUGCGUAGAUAUCUGAAGGAACAUCAGUGGCGAAGGCGACUUCCUGGACCAACACUGACGCUGAGGUGCGAAAGCGUGGGUAGCAAACAGGAUUAGAUACCCCAGUAGUCC